UACGAAGGGUGCAAGCGUUACUCGGAAUCACUGGGCGUAAAGCGUGCGCAGGCGGUUGUGCAAGACCGAUGUGAAAUCCCCGGGCUUAACCUGGGAAUGGCAUUGGUGACUGCACGGCUAGAGUGUGUCAGAGGGGGGUAGAAUUCCACGUGUAGCAGUGAAAUGCGUAGAGAUGUGGAGGAAUACCGGAUGGCGAAGGCAGCCCCCUGGGAUAACACUGACGCUCAUGCACGAAAGGCGUGGGGAGCAAACAGG
rnacentral:rRNA from 1 species